GACGAACGCUGGCGGCGUGCUUAACACAUGCAAGUCGAACGGAAAGGCCCUGCUUUUGUGGGGUGCUCGAGUGGCGAACGGGUGAGUAACACGUGAGUAACCUGCCCUUGACUUUGGGAUAACUUCAGGAAACUGGGGCUAAUACCGGAUAGGAGCUCCUGCUGCAUGGUGGGGGUUGGAAAGUUUCGGCGGUUGGGGCUGGACUCGCGGCUUAUCAGCUUGUUGGUGGGGUAGUGGCUUACCAAGGCUUUGACGGGUAGCCGGCAUGAGAGGGUGACCGGCCACAUUGGUACUGCGAUACGGCCCAGACUCCUACGUUAGGCAGCAGGGGGGAAUAUUGCACAAUGGGCCGAAGCCUGAUGCAGCGACGCCGCGUGCGGGAUGACGGCCUUCGGGUUAUAAACCGCUUUCGCCUGUGACGAAGCGUGAGUGACGGUAAUGGGUAAAGAAGCACCGGCUAACUACGUG
rnacentral:rRNA from 1 species